UAGAGGCGCGGGCUGCCGCUGUGCGGCCAGGCGGGGCUCUUGGGCGCCUGAGGUGAACCUAGGUUUGUGGUAAGGAAGCUGAGUGUUCUAGUUUCUCUUUGUUACAAAUUACCUCAGAGCAACCAUUUAUUGUGCUGAUGGAUUUGUGGACCAGGAAUUCAUAUCAGGAUGGUUUGUCUCUCUGCUCCACGGUGUCUGAGGCCUCAGCUGAAAGACUUAACUCUGGGUCCAUGAUCAUCUAAAGGCUCAUCCACUCACAAGUUUAGUGACUGAUUGCUGAUGGACGCUGAGGAACUUUAUGUCAUAUUUUCACAUGGACUAGUUUGCACUUCCUAAAGGAUGGUGGAUGGAUUUCAAAGAUGUAUGCCCAAGAGGGAGAUUUCUGGAUCAUAUGAACUAGGAAUCCGAAGAGUAGGAGCCAAGAUUUACUUGUGAUGGAACCUUUCUCUCUGAAGACAUGCUACAAAACAAGAAGCAUCAUUGGAAUUCUUUCUGAGCUGAAGUUUCACAUGUGAUAAUGAGCUAGGAUUUGUACUCUUUGCAGUUACAAGAACCCCUUGAUCUCUGGGCCUUAAAGUUGCACUUAGUUCUAGGUGAAUGUGACCCCAAACUAUUUUACUUAGGGGAAAAAUGAUCAUUUAAGGUCACUGCUGCUUUAACACACUUUGGAAAGAUACCUAUGACCUACUCUUUAAAGGUAUAAUGUCUGCUCCAUUGGCAAAUGCAGAAAUUACCUUUCCACUCUCCCCAGUCAUCUUACAUUACUGAUGAGUGAAUAUGAUGGGAAGACAGUGUGAUGAAAAAUGUUGUUUAAGUUAAAGAAAAAUCCACUUAAAAUUCUCUACACAAGAGUAAAUUAUAGGCUUUCAAGCUGAGACAGAACCUGUCUAUUUAUCAGCUUAAACUGCAAUCCGUAUGGAAGAUAGAAAGGCCCUUGAGGAUUUCGAGUAAAAGUCAUCUUCACAUAAGGUGAUUUCUUAUAAUCUUUUCAUUAACUGUGUCCCCUAACAUUACUAAGGAUUUUUCUUUUACAAGUGGAAUUUUUAAAAAUUGAAUAUUCCUCUGAUAAUCCAUAUGUAUCAGCUGAUUUAAAAUAUUGUUCCUUAAAUAUAGAACAGGAUAUAAAUCUCCAUUAUUGGAACAAAUGAAUACCAUGUUAUACAUAUGGCAGAUUUUUAAAGAUAGGAUUCUGAUAAUGUUUUCAAGAAUGUGUUAUGAGAUAAUUCACUUAUGUGGGUACUUAGGAGCUGAGAGGAGAAGGAACAGAAGAGUUGAAAGCGUGAGGGGUAACAGAUGUGUUUGAAUCCCCAGCCUAUAAAAGUGAGCAGUGACUCAGCUUUAAGUGGUAUUUGACCCCAUGCUUUUUCUUUUAAUGAUCCUGACAUAUUUUACGCUGAAGAAUACAUACAUCCAUCUUUGCAUUCAUGCAACUGGAAACUAGCCUUGCAGAGCAAAGUAUACAGUUUAAGAAUUAUUUAUCAGAAUAUGAUUCAGCAUUACUGCAGCUAUAAAGUAGACAGCAAAAUUCAUUAAUUUUGAUGAAAACAGAUGUAGUAAUUAUAAUUAUUCCAAGGGAUUUUUGUCUCAGAGGAGCAUGUUUAUGGUAGAUUAGAUCUUGCAAAACACAGAGGCCAAUGCCUUGAUCAGUGCUUGAGUUUGAAGAUGGGCAAAUGAUUAAGCUGAUACUGAUGCAUAAAAGAGCAGUAUCAUAUAGUGAGCAUGGUUUUUGAUUAAGCUGAAAUAUAAAAUGGAUCAAGAUAAGACACUACCGUGGAAACUAUCUUGCUAUCAGCAAGGAGAAUCAGGAAGUAAUUUCUGGGACAAAUCUCAAAUUGAAUAACUUACCUGUUAAAGGUUGAAAAUGGAUUGCAUUAUUGGUUAUCUAUAUAAAAUAAGAUGGAGAGCAAAACUUUUUUAAAAAGAUCACUUGUUAGGAAGAGCAACUAUUAUAGUGUUACAAAAUGAAGUUGGGGUCUUCUCUGUAACCAUCAUGCUAGGACCUUGCAUAAACUGGACGUAGUUCUUGAAUCAAAGGUGGAUGGAAUGUUAAGGCUGUUUUCCAUGAUUGCUUACUAUUCAUUGAAAAAAGAGAAUUUGAAAGGUCAUAAAGUCUAGUCUGUGAAGAACGUAACUUUAAAGCUUUUCUUGGAGAAAGGGCCAAUCUUUUCUGUUUUGUUUUGUUUUUUUCUAGACUUUUUUGUUCUUUAGAUAUGUAUAUACAAAUUUAAGUCAAUUUUAUUUAUUGGUACCUUUUAAAAGGAGAAAUUUAUUAUAUAUAUAUAUUAGUGUAUAGAAAAAGAUUUGGGAAUAAAAUUUAUAAAUGUCAAAGAAUAAGGUUUUUUUUUCAGUUAAUUUUGCUGUAUGGAUUUGAAUAAAAUGAAUGAAUAUACUAAUGUAAAUAAACUAACUUUCCUCAAAA